GAUGAACGCUAGCUACAGGCUUAACACAUGCAAGUCGAGGGGAAACGACAUCGAAAGCUUGCUUUUGAUGGGCGUCGACCGGCGCACGGGUGAGUAACGCGUAUCCAACCUGCCCACCACUUGGGGAUAACCUUGCGAAAGUAAGACUAAUACCCACUGACGUCUCUAGAAGACAUCUGAAAGAGAUUAAAGAUUUAUCGGUGAUGGAUGGGGAUGCGUCUGAUUAGUUGGGUGGCGGGGUAACGGCCCACCAAGACGACGAUCAGUAGGGGUUCUGGAAGGAAGGUCCCCCAAAUUGGAACUGAGACACGGUCCAAACUCCUACGGGAGGCAGCAGGGAGGAAUAUUGGUCAAUGGACGAGAGUCUGAACCAGCCAAGUAGCGUGGAGGAUGGCGGCCCUAUGGGUUGUAAACUUCUUUUAUAAGGGAAUAAAGUGAGUCUCGUGAGACUUUUGCAUGUACCUUAUGAAUAAGGACCGGCUAAUUCCGUGCCAGCAGCCGCCGUAA
rnacentral:rRNA from 1 species